GGCAGAUAGCCAGAAUUCGCCGCUUCCCACCUUUCCCCGAGACUUCCAGCAGUAAUAGACAGUAAUAGCCUAAGACAAAUCAGCCCAUUCCUGUAAAAAUAGAAACACAAAAUCCUGAAAUCCCACGAAAGCCAUAAAGAAGCUCUCCACCCCCCACUUUGUGGUGCUGUGAAAGAGGGUGUGUGUGUGUCCAUCCAUCUACACCUAUGUGAAUAGGCAGAUACUAGGCAGUGAGGGCUGGAGAUCCUGCUUGGUGCAGUUGAAGAACUUGGGGAAACAAGCCUGGCUUUCCUGGUACCCUAGUCACACUGCUACCAGUCCACCACCAAGGAGUGAGCCAAAACUACCAGGACUAUGCAUUUCAGGGAUGUAAUGCAGUACAGGACAUUACCACACUCCUUUCUUCUUUGGAGGAUUCUCCCCUCAAGACUUCAGUGCCACAGAGGGAAGGAGCUAUGCGGAGACUGUCCAGUUCACUGACUACUCCAUGGAACUCAAGAACAACGGUCAUUAGAAAGGAUAAAGGGAAGCAAUCUGUAGCCUCCUCUCUCCCCACCACCCCCUGCAGUUUCUCAUCUCAAUAGGCACACAGGUUCUUUAUCUAGAAGACCUUCAUUAUUUGAAAAUAACUCCCCUAGCCACCUGUGACUGCUUCUUCAGGACCUUUUUAAAUAUUUUGCAUUUACCCCUGCUUGAAGUGCAGGAGAUUCUUUAAAACUGCAGAUGUUUUCUGUGUAGCAUUCACAUCUCAUGAAUCACAGGGCUGCCUUGUCAGAAUACACUGAACAACAACUGGCUAUUCACGCAUAGAAAGGUGUUCCAUAAGUGUCCCAUCAAUGUACUGGCUCUAUGCUGGAAUGUGAGACUUGAUGGGCUCAAAUACAGAGAAAUUUUGUUUCAUGGAAUCAAGUGUCUUGUGCAAAGCUUUCAAAAUGUAAGAUGGGACAACUGAGAGAGUUAAAGAGAGAAAUGAUCUACCCAAGUCACAAAACAUGUCAAUCCCGGAGUAGAACUCAAGAGCUUUUGGCUCCCAGCUCCACAAGCAUUACUUUGGAUCAUGCCGCCUUGCUGCCAAUAUACUAAUAACAAUUUACUGCACAUCUCAAUACAGUGCAGUAAAUUCUGUGUGCUUAAGCAGAACAAUUCAUUUUUUUCUCAUUAAUACUAAGUCUAUUUGUUGCUCAGCAGGACUAAUAUUUAUACAUUCUAGAUCUUCUGAUGAAGUAGCAAGCUCUGAUUUCAGUUCAAUCUGACAGGUUCUGAGAGCAAAAUGUCAUUAUGGAACUUCAAAAGCACUUGCUCCAUAGCAAGAUCUUUACAAUUAUUUAUAUAUCUUUCAACUCCUGUUGGCUCCUUGAUCUUCUGUGGAAAUCCCAACUCUUCUGCCAGUUUUGGUUUAUGAAAAGUUGACCCUUAAGGCAUAACUAUUUUAAAAAAGAUAUGCCAAAAUGUUACAAGAUAUAGUAGAUUUCACCCAGUUUGAUAUCCCUUCUGGAAUACACACUUAAAUUGCAUUUUUACUAAGUAAUUGGCCAUAUGAAUCAUGUGCUAUUCAUGUAUUGUUCAUGAAUCAAACCAAGAGCCAUUUAAAAAUGACUAGCAUCAGGGAAACUUAAUAGCUUUUCAACAGAUUAUUUAAAUGACUGUAGCUAUGAUUUCCAAUAAUUUUUAUUCAAACAGCAAGGCUUUAGUAAACUGUGGCAGGACUCUCUCCGAAAAGAGUACCUUUCUGAUUAAAACCUUUUGCUACUGGAUUUAAGAAAUUAAAGAAAAAAGGGGAACGUCUGAGUUAUGUAUGCAUCUGUCAAAUCCUGGAUCUUUAUAGUGUAACAAUUUGACCAAUCACAGGUAAAAGAACGGAUGGUUUGGGAGGGAUAUAUUUCACUUUAUGAAUCACAGCUAAUAACGUAGUUAAGUACUUUCUGAACAGGCACUUCCUGCAGACUGACCAACCUGUAGAUUGUGUUCCUAGUAGUUUCUGGUGCAAUAGUUUGGCAUGCAUGAUGCAUUUGGAGAGUGAUUUGCCAGCAUUCCAGCAACAUAUGCAACUUUAGCUAGGAUUUCUUAUCACAGAUUAGCACCAGUUCGAAUUCCUUGAUUGAUUGAUUGUCUAUACUAUAAAGCCAGAUGUAUUUCACAGCAUCAGCUGUAUUCACCUAUUUCUUUUCUUGUUGUUGCAGCUUGCAUCCUUGACAUGAUUUUGCCAAUGGCUACCUGGCCUCUCAACACACUGUUGCUUUUCAGGAAUAUUUUCUAAUAAUGACAACUAUAGUUAACAUUUAUAUUUAUACUGUACAAUUAUACUUAACUAUUUAAAAUUUCAAAAAGCUGCAAAACAUUCAUUAAUUUGCCAAAUAAAAUCACUAUGGGGUAGACAAAUAGGAUCAUUACCCCCAUGUUAUAGAUGAGGAAACUGAGGCUGAAAGAUUAAAUGUCUUGCCCAGUGUCACAUGGCAAGUCUAGUGGCAGAAGGAGGGGUAAACUGAAAGUUACCCUUCUGGGUGCAUUCCUCAAGACCCGGUCUCUCACCUUUGUUUAAUAGUGUUGACCAAAUCUUAGUAGAGGGAUUCCCUUGUGGACUCCUCUCUUCUCACUCAGGAUCCCAUAUGAUCUCAACUACAGAAAUUGUUUACAAAGAAAAAUAAUAUUAGGAAAGUGCCAGCCUGCUGUGACCAGCCAGCAACUCCCCGGUCACCAGCAAGUACUCUGUGGACAACCAGCAGUUCACUGAUCCCAGUCUGAGAAUCACUACCUUAGCACUAUAUCUUGAGGUUUAUUCCUCUAGGUCACAUUGCCUCCUGGUACAGCAAUGUUAACUAAUCCUUUAUUAAACAAGUCUCCAAGCACAAAUAAAGAAUUUGGGUUGUUAACAUACAUAAGUUAUAUUAAAGAAGGUUUCAGAUCAGCACAUUGUAUUUUGUAGCAAAGUCAUAAAAUAUGCUAACAUGAUAACAUCUAAUGAGGGAAAUGUUGCAUGCAGAUGUCUGUUUGCCUAUUAUCCCAUAAAAUGACUGUAUAUUUUUAUUUAUAUGAGUAACAUCAGACACAAAUGUGUUACCAUAAAUGCAUUCAUUUAGGAAAAUGUAUAAACACAAUAUGAAUCUAAUAUAUAUGUAAAACUGUUUUAAAACCUGAUAUUUAAUGUUUAUAUAAAGAAUAAAGAUGAAAAAAAUUG